CCCAUGGCUCAGAUUGAACGCUGGCGGCAGGCCUAACACAUGCAAGUCGAGCGGAUGACAGGAGCUUGCUCCUGAAUUCAGCGGCGGACGGGUGAGUAAUGCCUAGGAAUCUGCCUGGUAGUGGGGGACAACGUUUCGAAAGGAACGCUAAUACCGCAUACGUCCUACGGGAGAAAGCAGGGGACCUUCGGGCCUUGCGCUAUCAGAUGAGCCUAGGUCGGAUUAGCUAGUUGGUGAGGUAAUGGCUCACCAAGGCGACGAUCCGUAACUGGUCUGAGAGGAUGAUCAGUCACACUGGAACUGAGACACGGUCCAGACUCCUACGGGAGGCAGCAGUGGGGAAUAUUGGACAAUGGGCGAAAGCCUGAUCCAGCCAUGCCGCGUGUGUGAAGAAGGUCUUCGGAUUGUAAAGCACUUUAAGUUGGGAGGAAGGGCAUUAACCUAAUACGUUAGUGUUUUGACGUUACCGACAGAAUAAGCACCGGCUAACU
rnacentral:rRNA from 4 species